UUGACCUCGGAUCAGGUAGGAAUACCCGCUGAACUUAAGCAUAUCAAUA
rnacentral:rRNA from 130 species